rnacentral:rRNA from 1 species
UACGUAGGAGGCAAGCGUUGUCCGGAAUUACUGGGGGUAAAGCGCGUGUAGGUGGUGGGCCAAGUCUGUGGUGAAAUCGCCCGGCUCAACUGGGCGAGGUCCGUGGAAACUGGUCGACUGGAGGACGGUAGAGGCGAGUGGAAUUCCCGGUGUAGUGGUGAAAUGCGUAGAGAUCGGGAGGAACACCAGUGGCGAAGGCGGCUCGCUGGGCCGGUCCUGACACUGAGACGCGAAGGCGUGGGGAGCGAACGGG